rnacentral:misc_RNA from 1 species
GAUGAAGAACGGAGCGAAAUGCGAUAAGUAAUGUGAAUUGCAGAAUUCAGUGAAUCAUCGAAUCUUUGAACGCACAUUGCGCCCGCCAGUAUUCUGGCGGGCAUGCCUGUCCGAGCGUCAUUUCAACCCUCGAACCCCUCCGGGGGGUCGGCGUUGGGGAUCGGCACUUACCUGCCGGCCCCGAAAUACAGUGGCGGUCUCGCCGCAGCCUCUCCUGCGCAGUAGUUUGCACACUCGCACCGGGAGCGCGGCGCGUCCACGGCCGUAAAACAACCCAAACUUCUGAAAUGUUGACCUCGGAUCAGGUAGGAAUACCCGCUGAACUUAAGCAUAUCAAUAAGCGGAGGA